rnacentral:ncRNA from 1 species
CCUCCGUCUUCCCCGCACAGGAAGACGGACCGAGGACCCGGCGCUCUCUGCCCUGACUGCUCCGGAUCCUCACCUUCGGCCGAACGGGACCGCACACCCCGCGGCCGAUGUUGCUCCGGGCUGCGGUGCCGGGAGGGCUGAGGGUCCCUCUCAGGCGC